rnacentral:lncRNA from 1 species
AGGUUUUGUUCAGCGGUCCUGCAAUUUGCUGAUAAUCAAGUGUCAAGGCCCUACUAUAUGCCAGCAUUGGGCACUCUUAUCACAUUGGGAAAAAAAUGUUGAUCACUCUUCAUCGGUUCUGGACAAAGUUCACAAUUGAGAGGACAUAAAAUAUAUUUAUCAUGUAAUCUACGACGAGUCAGACAAACAACUCCAUAUACUCGAAACUAGAGAUACAAACUUUAGGAGGGACUAACAUUCACAAAAUAUUUCAAUCUCCCUUCAAAUGAAACUUCUUCACUUU